UCUAUCAGUUUCAAGUCUCUUCUCUCAAUUCACUCUUUCUGCCUUUUUGCCUCUUUUAUAUCUAUCUGACCUGGAAAGGAUGAUGAGAAUGAGACUCCUAUUAUGAAUAAAGAGAUAAGAUGGGACGACUCCUCUUAAGGGGAUCAUGAAGUUGAGCCAAAUAAGACAUUACCACACCAAGUCAUGCAGCUGUUCACAUUCUAUGAUGUUUAUGUUAUGAAAUUGGUCAAGCUCUGAUAUGAGUAGGAGGAAAUUCUUGAGCUGUAAGUCUCUCUCUCUCUCUCUCUCUCUCUCAUUUAUUUAUUUUUGCAAGUUUCCCUCAAUUGUUGUAUUUUGGGUUGCCCUGGAAAGUAGAACGGGAUUGGUGGAAACUGGAAAGGAAGUUGUCAUGUUGUGCAGGGGUGAAGGAUGGAUAUGAGUGUGUGUGUGUGUGUUGUGUGUGUGUGUGUGUGUGUGUGAGAGAGAGAGAGAGAGAGAGGUUUUGUUGGGAAAUGUGGAUAUCUCAAGCAGGAUGUUGUUUGGAUCUGUUGUCUGAAUCCUUGGCAGCAAGUGGGGAUGUCUGUGCAUGGUCUUCUUGUUACAAAGAUUGUUUUCUUUGUUUCAUGAGCUAAACUGUGCAAAUAUUGUGAAACAGUAGAACUGUGUACUGGACAGAGCAAUUCAGUGGUCCCAAUACCAGCUAAUCUCUCAUUUAAGACCUCACAACCAACACAAUUCUUGGACUUCAAUGUUGCUACUACUUGUUUGGUCAUUGGGUCAUCUAAAGACAUCCUCAUAGGGUCAAUGAUCAGACCAGUCGAGUGGAUAUCAACCACCUGAUUCAAUACACUUGCUAUGUGGACAAUUUUAUGGGGUCCGGGAUUAUAUCCUAUCGGCCAAUGAUUUGCGUGUUAGUUUUAUUCAAUAUUUCUGCUUGUGUGUUUGGUUGUAAUUGACCGACGAUGUAGUCCCACACCACGUCUUGCAUGUGGGACCACCCCAUUUUUGUGGGGUUGGCUUCCAUAUGCUAUGCUGAGUAAAUGAUGCAUCCAUUUUCUCAAAAAUAUAUAUUCUGAUUUCAAAUUUUUUCCUUCUAA